GCUGAUGAAGAUGAUAUGCUCCUGAUCGAACCACCUCAUCAAUGUGACACGAGCCUUCCUAGUUUGGUGCGAGCUUUCCAUAUUCGAUCGGAUGAGACACUAUAACUCUCCGAAGGAUAAGAUCUCCUGCUCGAAAGAUUUUACCUUUGACUCUCAAAUUAUAGUACCGAAAUAUCCUCUGCUGGUAGCUAGCCAUUAGUACAU
rnacentral:lncRNA from 1 species